rnacentral:rRNA from 1 species
UACGUAAGUGGCGAGCGUUAUCCGGAAUUACUGGGCGUAAAGCGUGCGUAGGCGGUUUAGUGUGUGGGAAUUGAAAGCCCGGGGCUCAACUCCGGAUCCGGUUCCCAAACUGCUAGACUUGAGCGUAUCAGAGGACAGCGGAAUUCCCGGUGUAGCGGUAAUAUGCGUAGAUAUCGGGAGGAACACCAGUGGCGAAGGCGGCUGUCUGGGGUAUUGCUGACGCUGAGGAACGAAAGCGUGGGUAGCAAACAGGG